rnacentral:rRNA from 1 species
UACGUAGGGUGCAAGCGUUGUCCGGAUUUAUUGGGCGUAAAGAGCUCGUAGGCGGUUUUGAAAGUCAGGUGUGAAACCUCCAGGCUCAACCUGGAGACGCCACUUGAGACUUCAAUGACUGGAGUUCGGUAGGGGUAAGCGGAAUUCCUGGUGUAGCGGUGAAAUGCACAGAUAUCAGGAGGAACACCGAUGGCGAAGGCAGCUUACUGGGCCGAUACUGACGCUGAGGAGCGAAAGCGUGGGGAGCGAACAGG